rnacentral:rRNA from 1 species
ACGAUACGUAGCCGACCUGAGAGGGUGAUCGGCCACACUGGAACUGAGACACGGUCCAGACUCCUACGGGAGGCAGCAGUAGGGAAUCUUCCGCAAUGGGCGAAAGCCUGACGGAGCAACGCCGCGUGAGUGAUGAAGGGUUUCGGCUCGUAAAACUCUGUUAUUAGGGAAGAACAAAYGUGUAAGUAACUGUGCACGUCUUGACGGUACCUAAUCAGAAAGCCACGGCUAACUACGUGCCAGCAGCCGCGGUAAUACGUAGGUGGCAAGCGUUAUCCGGAAUUAUUGGGCGUAAAGCGCGCGUAGGCGGUUUCUUAAGUCUGAUGUGAAAGCCCACGGCUCAACCGUGGAGGGUCAUUGGAAACUGGGAAACUUGAGUGCAGAAGAGGAAAGUGGAAUUCCAUGUGUAGCGGUGAAAUGCGCAGAGAUAUGGAGGAACACCAGUGGCGAAGGCGACUUUCUGGUCUGUAACUGACGCUGAUGUGCGAAAGCGUGGGGAUCAAACAGGAUUAGAUACCCUGGUAGUCCACGCCGUAAACGAUGAGUGCUAAGUGUUAGGGGGUUUCCGCCCCUUAGUGCUGCAGCUAACGCAUUAAGCACUCCGCCUGGGGAGUACGACCGCAAGGUUGAACUCAAAGGAAUUGACGGGGACCCGCACAAGCGGUGGAGCAUGUGGUUUAAUUCGAAGCAACGCGAAGAACCUUACCAAAUCUUGACAUCCUUUGGAAAACUCUAGAGAUAGAGCCUUUCCCUUCGGGGGACAAAGUGACAGGUGGUGCAUGGUUGUCGUCAGCUCGUGUCGUGAGAUGUUGGGUUAAGUCCCGCAACGAGCGCAACCCUUAAGCUUAGUUGCCAUCAUUAAGUUGGGCACUCUAGGUUGACUGCCGGUGACAAACCGGAGGAAGGUGGGGAUGACGUCAAAUCAUCAUUCCC